AACAGGAUUAGAUACCCUGGUAGUCCACGCCGUAAACGAUGAGUGCUAGGUGUUGGGGGUUUCCGCCCUCUGUGCCGAAGGUAACCCAAUAAGCACUCCGCCUGGGGAGUACGGCCGCAAGGCUGAAACUCAAAGGAAUUGACGGGGGCCCGCACAAGCGGUGGAGCAUGUGGUUUAAUUCGAAGCAACGCGAAGAACCUUACCAGGGCUUGACAUCCCGCUGACCGGUGUAGAGAUACACCUUCCCUUCGGGGCAGCGGUGACAGGUGGUGCAUGGUUGUCGUCAGCUCGUGUCGUGAGAUGUUGGGUUCAGUCCCGCAACGAGCGCAACCCUUGUCGUCAGUUGCCAGCACAUGAUGGUGGGCACUCUGGCGAGACAGCCGGUGAAAGCCGGAGGAAGGUGGGGAUGACGUCAAAUCAUCAUGCCCCUUAUGUCCUGGGCUACACACGUGCUACAAUGGCCGGUACAACGGGCAGCGAACCCGUGAGGGGGAGCCAAUCCCAAAAAACCGGUCUCAGUUCGGAUCGCAGGCUGCAACUCGCCUGCGUGAAGCUGGAAUCGCUAGUAAUCGCGGAUCAGCAUGCCGCGGUGAAUCCGUUCCCGGGCCUUGUACACACCGCCCGUCACACCACGAGAGUCUGCAACACCCGAAGUCGGUGAGGUAACCUUCGGGAACCAGCCGCCGAAGGUGGGGCAGAUGAUUGGGGUGAAGUCGUAACAAGGUAACC
rnacentral:rRNA from 1 species